rnacentral:rRNA from 1 species
UGGGGAAUCUUGCACAAUGGGGGAAACCCUGAUCCAGCCAUGCCGCGUGUGUGAUGAAGGCCCUAGGGUCGUAAAGAACUUUCGCCAGGGAAGAUAAUGACGGUACCUGGUAAAGAAACCCCGGCUAACUCCGUGCCAGCAGCCGCGGUAAUACGGAGGGGGUUAGCGUUGUUCGGAAUUACUGGGCGUAAAGCGCGCGUAGGCGGACUAGUCAGUCAGAGGUGAAAUCCGGGGGCUCAACCCCGGAACUGCCUUUGAUACUGCUAGUCUUGAGUUCGAGAGAGGGGAGUGGAAUUCCGAGUGUAGAGGUGAAAUUCGUAGAUAUUCGGAGGAACACCAGUGGCGAAGGCGGCUCACUGGCUCGAUACUGACGCUGAGGUGCGAAAGCGUGGGGAGCAAACAGGAUUAGAUACCCCCGUAGUCC